UUCCUACGGGGCGCAGCAGUGGGGAAUAUUGCACAAUGGGGGAAACCCUGAUGCAGCAAUGCCGCGUGGGUGAAGAAGCACUCCGGUGCGUAAAGCCCUGUCAGCAGGGAAGAAAAUGACAGUACCUGACCAAGAAGCCCCGGCUAACUACGUGCCAGCAGCCGCGGUAAUACGUAGGGGGCAAGCGUUAUCCGGAUUUAUUGGGUUUAAAGGGUGCGCAGGCGGAGGUGCAAGUCAGCGGUCAAAUUGCGGGGCUCAACCCCGUACUGCCGUUGAAACUGCAUCCCUUGAGUGCGCGAGAAGUA
rnacentral:rRNA from 1 species